AAUCAACGCUGGCGGCGUGCCUAACACAUGCAAGUCGCACGAGAAAGGGAGUUCGCUCCUGAGUAAAGUGGCGCACGGGUGAGUAACACGUGAAUCAUCUACCUCUGAAUGGGGAAUAACUGAGAGAAAUCUUAGCUAAUACCGCAUAAUACCUACGGGUCAAAGCAGCAAUGCGUUUGGAGAGGAGUUCGCGGUCGAUUAGUUAGUUGGCGGGGUAAUGGCCCACCAAGACGAUGAUCGAUAUCCGGCCUGAGAGGGCGCACGGACACACUGGAACUGAAACACGGUCCAGACUCCUACGGGAGGCAGCAGUGGGGAAUUUUGCGCAAUGGGGGAAACCCUGACGCAGCAACGCCGCGUGGAGGAUGAAAUAUCUUGGUAUGUAAACUCCUUCGAUGGGGAAGAUAAUGACGGUACCCAUAGAAGAAGCCCCGGCUAACUUCGUGCCAGCAGCCGCAGUAAU
rnacentral:rRNA from 1 species